rnacentral:rRNA from 1 species
AAAGCGAUUCAGCGGGUUACGAUUGACGGAGCGAAGCGACGUCAAAGCGUAUACAAAGUCGAGUCGGUUUAAGGAUACGUUCGUUGGGUAGGGGAGCGUUCUGUAAGCCUGUGAAGGUGGCCUGUGAGGGUUGCUGGAGGUAUCAGAAGUGCGAAUGCUGACAUAAGUAACGAUAAAGCGGGUGAAAAGCCCGCUCGCCGGAAGACCAAGGGUUCCUGUCCAACGUUAAUCGGGGCAGGGUGAGUCGACCCCUAAGGCGAGGCCGAAAGGCGUAGUCGAUGGGAAACGGGUUAAUAUUCCCGUACUUGGUGUUACUGCGAAGGGGGGACGGAGAAGGCUAUGUUGGCCGGGCGACGGUUGUCCCGGUUUAAGGGUGUAGGUGUGUGUUCCAGGUAAAUCCGGUUCACUUUAACACUGAGGCGUGACGACGAGGCACUACGGUGCUGAAGCAACAAAUGCCCUGCUUCCAGGAAAAGCCUCUAAGCAUCAGGUAACAUCAAAUCGUACCCCAAACCGACACAGGUGGUCAGGUAGAGAAUACCAAGGCGCUUGAGAGAACUCGGGUGAAGGAACUAGGCAAAAUGGUGCCGUAACUUCGGGAGAAGGCACGCUGACACGUAGGUGAAGUGAUUUACUCAUGGAGCUGAAGUCAGUCGAAGAUACCAGCUGGCUGCAACUGUUUAUUAAAAACACAGCACUGUGCAAACACGAAAGUGGACGUAUACGGUGUGACGCCUGCCCGGUGCCGGAAGGUUAAUUGAUGGGGUCAGCGCAAGCGAAGCUCCUGAUCGAAGCCCCGGUAAACGGCGGCCGUAACUAUAACGGUCCUAAGGUAGCGAAAUUCCUUGUCGGGUAAGUUCCGACCUGCACGAAUGGCGUAAUGAUGGCCAGGCUGUCUCCACCCGAGACUCAGUGAAAUUGAACUCGCUGUGAAGAUGCAGUGUACCCGCGGCAAGACGGAAAGACCCCGUGAACCUUUACUAUAGCUUGACACUGAACAUUGAGCCUUGAUGUGUAGGAUAGGUGGGAGGCUUUGAAGUGUGGACGCCAGUCUGCAUGGAGCCGACCUUGAAAUACCACCCUUUAAUGUUUGAUGUUCUAACGUGGACCCGUGAUCCGGGUUGCGGACAGUGUCUGGUGGGUAGUUUGACUGGGGCGGUCUCCUCCUAAAGAGUAACGGAGGAGCACGAAGGUUGGCUAAUCCUGGUCGGACAUCAGGAGGUUAGUGCAAUGGCAUAAGCCAGCUUGACUGCGAGCGUGACGGCGCGAGCAGGUGCGAAAGCAGGUCAUAGUGAUCCGGUGGUUCUGAAUGGAAGGGCCAUCGCUCAACGGAUAAAAGGUACUCCGGGGAUAACAGGCUGAUACCGCCCAAGAGUUCAUAUCGACGGCGGUGUUUGGCACCUCGAUGUCGGCUCAUCACAUCCUGGGGCUGAAGUAGGUCCCAAGGGUAUGGCUGUUCGCCAUUUAAAGUGGUACGCGAGCUGGGUUUAGAACGUCGUGAGACAGUUCGGUCCCUAUCUGCCGUGGGCGCUGGAGAACUGAGGGGGGCUGCUCCUAGUACGAGAGGACCGGAGUGGACGCAUCACUGGUGUUCGGGUUGUCAUGCCAAUGGCACUGCCCGGUAGCUAAAUGCGGAAGAGAUAAGUGCUGAAAGCAUCUAAGCACGAAACUUGCCCCGA